GCGGUGCAUUAGCUAGUUGGUAAGGGUAACGGCCUACCAAGGCGAUGAUGCAUAGCCCGAGUUGAGAGACUGAUCGGGCCACAUUGGGGACUGAGACACGGGCCCAAAAACUCCUACGGGGAGGCAGCAGUAGGGAAUCUUCCACAAUGGACGCAAGUCUGAUGGAGCAACGCCGCGUGAGUGAAGUAAGGGUUUCGACUACGUAAAGCUCUGUUGUUGGUGAAGAAGGACAGGGGUAGUAACUGACCUUUGUUUGACGGUAAUCAAUUAGAAAGUCACGGCUAACUACGUGCCAGCAGCCGCGGUAAU
rnacentral:rRNA from 1 species